rnacentral:rRNA from 1 species
AUUGAACGCUGGCGGCAUGCCUUACACAUGCAAGUCGAACGGCAGCACGGGUGCUUGUAGCUGGUGGCGAGUGGCGGUCGGGUGCGUAUUACAUCGGAACAUGUCCUGACGUGGGGGUUAGCGCGGCGAAAGCCGGAUUAAUACUGCAAACGAUCUCCGGAUGAAAGCGGAGGACCUUCGGGCCUCGCCCUAUCGCGAUGGCCGAUGGCUGAUUAGCUAGUUGGUGGGGUAAAGGCCUACCAAGGCGACGAUCAGUAGCUGGUCUGAGAGGACGAGCAGCCACACUGGAACUGAGACACGGCCCAGACUCCUACGGGAGGCAGCAGUGGGGAAUAUUGGACAAUGGGCGAAAGCCUGAUCCAGCAAUACCGCGUGUGUGAAGAAGGCCUUCGGGUUGUAAAGCACUUUUGUCCGGAAAGAAAACCUUGGCCCUAAUACGGUCGGGGGAUGACGGUACCGGAAGAAUAAGCACCGGCUAACUACGUG